AUUGAACGCUGGCGGCAGGCCUAACACAUGCAAGUCGAGCGGAUGAAGAGAGCUUGCUCUCUGAUUUAGCGGCGGACGGGUGAGUAAUGCCUAGGAAUCUGCCUGGUAGUGGGGGAUAACGUCCGGAAACGGGCGCUAAUACCGCAUACGUCCUACGGGAGAAAGCAGGGGACCUUCGGGCCUUGCGCUAUCAGAUGAGCCUAGGUCGGAUUAGCUAGUUGGUGAGGUAAUGGCUCACCAAGGCUACGAUCCGUAACUGGUCUGAGAGGAUGAUCAGUCACACUGGAACUGAGACACGGUCCAGACUCCUACGGGAGGCAGCAGUGGGGAAUAUUGGACAAUGGGCGAAAGCCUGAUCCAGCCAUGCCGCGUGUGAAGAAGGUCUUCGGAUUGUAAAGCACUUUAAGUUGGGAGGAAGGGCAGUAAGUUAAUACCUUGCUGUUUUGACGUUACCGACAGAAUAAGCACCGGCUAACUUCGUGCCAGCCGCCGCGGUAAAAC
rnacentral:rRNA from 1 species